GAUGGAAGAACGUAGCGAAAUGCGAUAAGUAAUGUGAAUUGCAGAAUUCAGUGAAUCAUCGAAUCUUUGAACGCACAUUGCGCCCGCCAGUAUUCUGGCGGGCAUGCCUGUCCGAGCGUCAUUUCAACCCUCGAACCCCUCCGGGGGGUCGGCGUUGGGGAUCGGGAACCCCUAAGACGGGAUCCCGGCCCCGAAAUACAGUGGCGGUCUCGCCGCAGCCUCUCCUGCGCAGUAGUUUGCACAACUCGCACCGGGAGCGCGGCGCGUCCACGUCCGUAAAACACCCAACUUCUGAAAUGUUGACCUCGGAUCAGGUAGGAAUACCCGCUGAACUUAAGCAUAUCAAUAAGCGGAGGA
rnacentral:misc_RNA from 1 species